AUGCGGCCCUGCUCCCGCGUGCUCGCCGCGAGGCACCUCCUCCGCGGCUCCCGCUUCCAGCUCCCCGCGGCGCUCCGGCGGCCCGACGGUCCGCCCGCGCCGGCGCCGACUCACCUCGGGGGCUUCGGACCAGGCUGCAGGGUCUCUCCGGGGACGGGGGGACGCGCCCCCUUCGGCCGCCCCCGCUGCCUGCUCCCGGGCCCGGCCUUCCCGCCGCGGCGGUCCGCGUGGCCUCUCCGCGACCUGAGAGGGAAUGCAUUCUCCACUUCUGCCAAUGCUGUGACAGCUGGGAAACCGGCUGAUGACAACGAGCAUAAAGAUGCCCCGAAGAAGGACAUCGAUGAUCAGAUAGCAGAUAUUCAGAUCCUUCAAAACCUUUGGAAGUACUUGAGGCUGAACAAUAGCCGUGAUUUCAACAUCAGGAUUGUCUUGUCGUUGGGUCUCUUAGUCGGCGCAAAGGUCAUAAAUGUUCAAGUGCCUUUCUUGUUUAAGCUUGCUAUCGAUUGGCUUGCAGCACUUGGCGGCGCUGAAGCCUCACUGGCAGGAUUUACAGAUGCUAAUGCAACCCUGUUGGCUCUCUUUGCAAGCCCAGCAGCAGUUCUGAUUGGAUAUGGUAUUGCACGGUCAGGAGUAUCAGCUUGUACAGAACUGCGGAAUGCUUUAUUUUCGAAAGUUACCUGGAGAGCCAUCCGUUCACUCUCCAGGAUGGUGUUUUCUCACUUGCAUGAGCUUGAUCUUCGUUAUCAUCUAAGCCGGCAAACUGGAGCUCUAAAUCGCAUAAUUGACAGAGGGAGCAACGCAAUAAAUUUCAUUCUUACGGUGACAGUGUUCAAUAUUGUUCCCACAAUACUAGAGAUUGGUAUGGUGUCAAGUAUACUUGCCUACAAGUUCGGCUCCACUUUUGCUUGGAUUACUUCAGUUUCAGUUGCUACUUAUAUUGUUUUCACUUUGGCUUUGACACAGUGGCGGACGAAGUUCAGGACAGCCAUGAAUAAAGCUGAUAAUGCUUCUGGUGCAGUGGCAGUUGACUCCCUUCUGAAUUACGAGACUGUCAAAUACUUCAACAAUGAGCAAUUUGAAGUUCAGAAGUAUGACAAAUAUUUAAAGAGAUACGAGGAUGCUGCACUGAAAGCCCAAAGUAGCCUUGCCUACUUGAACUUUGGGCAAAAUGUUAUAUUUAGUUUGACAUUAUCCACAGCAAUGGUUUUGAGCUCAUAUGGUAUAAUGAGUGGUGCUCUGACUGUCGGUGAUUUGGUCAUGGUUAAUGGACUUCUAUUCCAGCUCUCAGUGCCUCUGAACUUCCUUGGUAGUGUAUAUCGAGAAUCUAGACAAAGCCUAAUUGACAUGAAGUCCAUGUUUCAAUUGCUUGAGGAAAAACCUGGAAUAAAAGAUGAGCUUCAUGCACAACCUUUGCAGUUCAAGGGAGGAUGCAUUGAAUUCGAGAAUGUCCAUUUUGGGUAUGUACCAGAAAGGCAGAUUCUUAAUGGGGCCACUUUCACUGUACCGGCAGGAAAAAGUGUGGCAAUUGUUGGAACUAGUGGCAGCGGAAAGUCAACCAUACUUAGGCUUCUCUUUAGAUUUUUUGAUUCAACUUCAGGAUCUAUACGAAUAGACGGGCAAGAUAUUCGGGGAGUCACACUGGAGAGUCUUCGGAAGUCUCUUGGUGUUGUGCCACAGGAUACGGUACUUUUCAAUGACACAAUUAAGCAUAAUAUACAAUAUGGGCUGUUAUCAGCAAAUGAUGAAGAGGUUUACGAUGCUGCUCGACGCGCCUCUAUCCAUGAUACAAUUAUGAACUUUCCUGACAAGUAUGACACGGUUGUGGGAGAGCGUGGAUUGAAGUUAAGUGGUGGUGAGAAACAACGAGUCUCAAUUGCUCGUGUAUUCUUGAAGGAGCCUUCCGUUCUGUUAUGUGAUGAAGCUACAAGCGCACUGGAUAGCACUACUGAAUCAUCGAUUUUGAAUUCUCUAAUGUCUUUAUCCGUCGAUCGAACCUCAAUAUUUAUUGCUCAUCGACUCACAACUGCAAUGCUAUGCGACGAGAUCAUCGUCUUCGAGAAUGGAAGAGUAGUUGAACAAGGACCACAUGAUCAUCUUCUGUCGAAGCGCGGGCGUUAUGCCGAACUUUGGUCCCAGCAGAAUACAACUGAAGCCAGUUGA
rnacentral:rRNA from 1 species